GUCAAAUACUUAAACCCACGUUCAUCCCUGGUUUAUUUUUUAUUUGUAAGGUGGUACAUAAGUACCUAGGUAGACAAAUACUCGUACCCUAUUUGUCUGGCUAAGUAUAAUUGCCAUUUGCUUAAAUUCAUAGCGCGAUACGCCGUUCAACUUGGUACUUACUUUAUCUUCCAUUUUUGUCUUUAAAACGCAACUGAAUCGAGUGCUGGGUGGUUGUAUGUUUCGUCUAGUCAGACGCGUGACGAUCACAUUUCUCCGAACAAUACAAUACAAGAACCAUAAUCUUUAUUGUAUGCAAUAAAACAUAUGUCGUACAUUUCAAUAUAUGGUCUAUGGUGAUGAAAAUCGGAAGAUUGCGCUUUGUUUUAUUAUAUUUCACAUGUAGCUUCUCGUCAGAAUUUAUCCUUUUUUGGUGAGCUGCGGCACCCAUAUAACUUUAUGUUUUCCAACUAAAUAUUAAUGUGUGUAUAUUUAAAUGUUGAAAAUGUAUAUGUGUGUCGUAGGUUUUACCCAAAUAAGCUUUUUUAAUAUUAUUUUUUUAUGGGGAAGGCAGAGAAAAUGUCUUGCAUCUUCAUUAGAAAAAGAAUAUUAAUUUUGACUUAGAGGGGCCAUAGCUUGGUGAAAUUUUCCUGUUUAUACACAAGCUUCAAAAGAAGGUAUUCGUCGAAUUCGAAAGAGUCUUGUGUCAGCUUUUGUAGAUAGAAACAUUUGCCUAGGUAGGCCCUAUGAACAGGCAAAGGCUUCAUAUCCAUAACACUAUACAGCCUAUAAAAUACGAAAUGUGGUCAUUACGCCUCAUAAGGUUUCGGUUUUUUUGCACGGAAAGGGUUAACAGCACGAUUGUGGAAUGUAAAAGAGAACUCUAUGUAAUAUUAUAUUUUGUCUGUAAACAUUUAGUUGCGAUAGUAAUUUACACUAAUUGUUUUUUGUAAUACUUAAAUGCAACUGAAACGAUAAAAAUAUAGUGCAUUUUUUGAAUAAAA